UACAGAGGGUGCGAGCGUUAAUCGGAAUUACUGGGCGUAAAGCGCGCGUAGGCGGCUUUGCAAGUCGGGUGUGAAAUCCCCGGGCUUAACCUGGGAACUGCAUUUGUGACUGCAUCGCUGGAGUGCGGCAGAGGGGGAUGGAAUUCCGCGUGUAGCAGUGAAAUGCGUAGAUAUGCGGAGGAACACCGAUGGCGAAGGCAAUCCCCUGGGCCUGCACUGACGCUCAUGCACGAAAGCGUGGGGAGCAAACAGG
rnacentral:rRNA from 1 species